rnacentral:piRNA from 1 species
UACCAUACCUUUAACUCCAGCAUUCCC